CCUACGGGUGGCAGCAGUGAGGAAUAUUGGGCAAUGGAGGCAACUCUGACCCAGCCAUGCCGCGUGCAGGAAGAAUGCCCUAUGGGUUGUAAACUGCUUUUAUUUAGGAAUAAACCCUUCUACGUGUAGAAGGCUGAAUGUACUAAACGAAUAAGCACCGGCUAACUCCGUGCCAGCAGCCGCGGUAAUACGGAGGGUGCAAGCGUUAUCCGGAAUCAUUGGGUUUAAAGGGUCCGCAGGCGGACGUAUAAGUCAGUGGUGAAAUCCUGCAGCUUAACUGCAGAACUGCCAUUGAUACUGUACGUCUUGAAUUCGGUCGAAGUGGGCGGAAUGUGUAGUGUAGCGGUGAAAUGCAUAGAUAUCACACAGAAUACCGAUUGCGAAGGCAGAUCACUAACAAUAUACUGACGCUCAUGGACGAAAGCGUGGGGAGCGAACAG
rnacentral:rRNA from 1 species